CCUACGGGAGGCUGCAGUGGGGGAUAUUGCACAAUGGGGGAAACCCUGAUGCAGCGACGCCGCGUGAGGGAAGACGUAUUUCGGUAUGUAAAGCUCUAUCAGCAGUGAAGAAAAUGACGGUACCUGAUUAAGAAGCCCCGGCUAACUACGUGCCAGCAGCCGCGGUAAUACGUAGGGGGCAAGCGUUAUCCGGAUUUACUGGGUGUAAAGGGUGCGUAGACGGCAGCGCAAGUCAGGAGUGAAAUGCCGGGGCUUAACCCCUGAACUGCUUUGGAAACUGUGGAGCUAGAGUGCAGUAGAGGUAAGUGGAAUUCCUGGUGUAGCGGUGAAAUGCGUAGAGAUUAGGAGGAACACCAGUGGCGAAGGCGGCUUACUGGACUGUAACUGACGUUGAGGCUCGAAAGCGUGGGUAGCAAACAGGAUUAGAUACCCUUGUAGUC
rnacentral:rRNA from 1 species